AUGGGGGUGCAACAUGAAAAUAUAGUGCGGUUACUUGGCUAUUGUUAUGAAACACGAAAUAAAAUUGCCGAAUAUAAUGGAAAGCUUGUUUUUGCUGGCUAUGACGAAAGACUUCUCUGCUUAGAAUACUUACAGAGUGGAAGUCUUGAGGAUCAUAUUUCUGAUGAACCCUGCAGACUUGAUUGGAGCAUAUCUUACGUAAUAAUUAGAGGAAUAUGUGAAGGUUUAAAGUACCUUCAUACGGGAUCUGAACAUCCUAUUUACCAUCUAGAUUUGAAGCCUGCAAACAUAUUACUAGAUGGAGAUAAGAUACCAAAGAUUGGAGAUUUCAGUUUGUCCAGACUUCUUGUUUCAACACAAACAUGUGUCACAAAGACAUUUAUAGGAACACCUGGAUACAUGCCACCAGAAUACAUCGAUAGACAAGAAAUCACACCAAAAUUUGACGUAUUUAGCUUGGGUGUUAUAAUCCAAAAAAUAAUGGCUGGACAGAAGCUUCACUGCCAAUAUGCGCAUACGCCUCCUGAGAAAUUUAUUGACCUCGUGUGUGAAAACUGGGAGAAAAGACUCCAAGCAACAAUGUCCACGGAUAUAUCACUGGAAAUUAAGACAUGUAUCGAAACACCGUUAAAAUGCGUGGAGUCCGACCGGAAGAAAAGGCCGACUAUAACCCAAAUUGUGGAUGAAUUGGAUAAGAUCGAUAAUGCCAAAAGUUCACCUAUAGGCCAGGUCACUGGCGUGAGAAAAAAGCGGGAUUUCAACAAACUAUACGCAAGCUUGGAUUCCACCAUUGGUUUCAACGAUGACGAGCCAAUAAUUAUUGCUCCUCCAAAUUCAGUGCAGCUGGUGAUAAAGAACAGUAAAGAGGCGCCUCUCAAGGAGAACAACCAGAAGGUGAUGCUGGAGCUCACCGGCGGUGACUCCAGCGUUGACCGGCCGGGCCUGGACCUAGUGGUCGUACUAGACGUGAGUGGCAGCAUGUCGGGUGAGAAAAUCGACGAGAUGAAAGUCGCCAUGCAGUUUGUCGUUAGGAAGCUUUGCCCCAUCGACCGCCUCUCCAUCGUCACCUUCUCCAAUGAUGCCACUAGGCUGUGCCCACUGCGGCAGAUCACCCGGGACUCCCAGCGGGAUUUGCAGAAGAUCGUCAACGGCCUUAUCGCCCGCGGCGGCACAAACAUCAGUGCCGGCCUUCAGACUGGACUGAAGGUCCUCACCGACCGCAAGGUCAGCGACGGCCGGGUCGUGGGCGUCAUGCUCAUGUCUGACGGCCAUGAGAGCUCAGGCGACGCCCGCCAGGCCCCUGUCGGAAAUGUACCUGUCUACACUUUUGGUUUUGGCAAGGACAGUGACUCGCUGCUGCUCAGAGAAGUCACGGCCAAGAGCAUUGGAGGGACAUUCUCCUUUGCCCGCGACAUGGAUGGUCUGACCAUGGCCUUCUCCCACUGCCUCGCUGGGCUGCUUACUGUCGCGGCUGAAGAGCUCUAUCUGACGGUGUCAUGCGUCAGAGACGAGUGA
rnacentral:rRNA from 1 species